rnacentral:rRNA from 1 species
GACGAACGCUGGCGGCGUGCUUAACACAUGCAAGUCGAACGAUGACGACCGAGCUUGCUCGGUCUGAUUAGUGGCGAACGGGUGAGUAAUACGUGAGCAACCUGCCCUUCACUCUGGGAUAACCUCGGGAAAUCGGGGCUAAUACCGGAUAUGAGCUCCUGUCGCAUGGCGGGUGUUGGAAAGUUUUUCGGUGAAGGAUGGGCUCGCGGCCUAACAGUUUGUUGGUGAGGUAGUGGCUCACCAAGGCGAUGACGGGUAGCCGGCCUGAGAGGGCGACCGGCCACACUGGGACUGAGACACGGCCCAGACUCCUACGGGAGGCAGCAGUGGGGAAUAUUGCACAAUGGGCGAAAGCCUGAUGCAGCGACGCCGCGUGAGGGAUGACGGCCUUCGGGUUGUAAACCUCUUUCAGCAGGGAAGAAGCGAAAGUGACGGUACCUGCAGAAGAAGCGCCGGCUAACUACGUG